AUGGGUCCCUGGACCCUCCUUGCACGCCAUCCUGCUGCUGGUGCUUUUGGGAGUCUACACCGUGCGCUCCGACACUCCUGCCAACUGCACCUACCCUGGUUUGCUGGGCACCUGGGUGUUCCAGGUGGGCCCUAGAAGUUCCCGAAGCGACAUUAACUGCUCGGUGAUGGAAGCAACAGAAGAAAAGGUAGUGGUACACCUUAAGAAGUUGGAUACUGCUGGGCAAUUCUGGGCAUUUUACCCUCAUUUACAACCAAGGCUUCGAGAUUGCGUUGAAUGACUACAAAUGGUUUGCGCUUUUCAAGUAUGAAGUCAGAGGCCACACAGCUAUCAGUUACUGCCAUGAGACCAUGACUGGGCGGGUCCAUGAUGUGCUGGGCCGGAACUGGGCUUGCUUUGUUGGCAAGAAGGUGGAAAGUCACAUUGAGAAGGUUAAUAUGAAUGCAGCACACCUUGGAGGUCUCCAGGGAAAAUAUUCUGAAAGGCUCUACCCUCACAACUUGUGAAGGCCAUCAAUACCGUUCAGAAGUCUUGGACUGCAACUACAUAUAAGGAAUAUGAGAAAAUGAGCCUGCGAGAUCUGAUAAGGAGAAGUGGCCAUAGCCAAAGGAUCCCAAGGCCCAAACCUGCCCUGAUGACUGAUGAAAUACAGCAACAAAUUUUAAAUUUGCCAGAAUCUUGGGACUGGAGAAACGUCCAAGGCGUCAAUUAUGUUAGCCCUGUUCGAAACCAAGAAUCUUGUGGAAGCUGCUACUCGUUUGUCUCUAUGCUAGAAGCAAGAAUUCGUAUAUUAACCAACAAUUCUCAGACACCAAUCCUGAGUCCUCAGGAGGUUGUAUCUUGCAGCCAGUAUGCCCAAGGUUGUGAUGGUGGAUUCCCAUACCUCAUUGCAGGGAAGUAUGCCCAAGAUUUUGGGGUAGUGGAAGAAAGCUGCUUUCCCUACACAGCCAAAGAUUCUCCAUGCAAACCAAGGGAGAAUUGCCUCCGUUAUUAUUCUUCUGACUACUACUAUGUGGGUGGUUUCUAUGGUGGCUGCAAUGAAGCCCUGAUGAAGCUUGAGCUGGUCAAACCUGGACCCAUGGCAGUUGCCUUUGAAGUCCACGAUGACUUCCUACACUACCACAGUGGAAUCUAUCACCACACUGGGCUGAGCGACCCUUUCAACCCCUUUGAGCUGACACAUCAUGCUGUUUUGCUUGUGGGCUAUGGAAGAGAUCCAGUUACUGGGAUAGAAUACUGGAUUAUAAAGAACAGCUGGGGCUCUAACUGGGGUGAGAGUGGCUACUUCCGUAUCUGCAGAGGAACUGAUGAAUGUGCAAUUGAGAGUAUAGCCGUGGCGGCCAUACCGAUUCCUAAAUUAUAGGACAUAGCUCCCAGUGUUAUAUACGGGUCUUUAUCACUCACAGAGUGAUUUAGUCACAUGCUGAAGACU